AAAGCCUGCACAAGAUCACUGCAUUUCCAGCUCCAGCUUGACGCACCUUCUGCACCUAAACCCAGGCUUCCCAGGCUGGAGUGGGCUCCCAGUCUCGGGGAGUGGCCUGGCUGCCUUAGGGUGGGGUGGGAGGAUGGAAACUCAAACAUAGGGAAGGAUGAGCCCCUCAGGAACUGCAGGGGACAGAGCAGGGUGGGUGGGAUGUCAGCUCUGACAGGGCCACCCCCAGGAAGCUCAGAUCUCCCACUGGGACAGGGAGCCAGGGUUAAGAUUCCAUCUGAGCCAGCAUCUUUUCUAGGGACUGCAUUGGCUCUGCAGAGGGGCUUCUGGGCUUCAGGGAUUUCAGCUCGGGGGGUGCUCUGGUGAGAGCAAGGGCUGCUGAGAGCAAAGCCUAGCCCCAUGCAAAGUGCUUUGCAGGACUCAGAGGAGGGGAUUAAGAACCCGUGGGAACAAGGAGCCGCACAGACCAGUCAGGCUUGAAUUGCACCUGAGUUCCAAAGGAGAAGUUGACAUUCUUCCAGAACAUAUGCCCAGUGUCUUCAACUUGAGAUGGAGCUGGGAUGCCAAGUCUGCAAAUGACUGUGCCUUGCACACAGUAGGUGUGGUAUUUAACUUUAUGUGUCAACUUGACUGGGCUUUGGGAUGCCCACAUAUUUUGUUGGACAUUAUUUCUGGCUGUGUCUGUGAGGAGGUUUCUGGAAGAGAUUAGCAUUUGCAUUAGUAGACUGAGUAAAGCAGAUGGUCUCCACCACGUGAGCAGACUGGGCUUUACCCCAUCUACUCCCAGGAUACUCAGACCUUCAGACUCUGGCUGAAUUAUAACACUGACUUUCCUGGGUCUCCAGCUUGCAAAUGGCAGGCUAUGGAACUUCUCAGCCCACAAUCACAUGGAGAAAGGAGGAACGGAGGGAUUAAGUAACUUUCUCAAGGUCACACAGCAAGCAGUGAAACCAGGAUUCAAAUGCAGCCUUCAGGGUAGACCGAGGAGAGCACCUCCCCUUCCUGGUGAAGGGAGCCCGAUACACGCUGGUGCCGGCUGGCCAAGAAGGAG